rfam:Dipodomys ordii contig_57098, whole genome shotgun sequence.
GGGAAGGUGGCUCAGUGGUAGAGCGCUUGCCUUGCAUCCAUGAGGUCCUUGGUUCGAUUCCUCAGCACCCCA